rnacentral:rRNA from 1 species
ACUCCUACGGGAGGCAGCAGUAAGGAAUAUUGGUCAAUGGGGGCAACCCUGAACCAGCCAUGCCGCGUGCAGGAAGACGGCCCUCUGGGUUGUAAACUGCUUUUAUCCGGGAAUAAACCCCCUUACGUGUAAGGGGCUGAAUGUACCGGAAGAAUAAGGAUCGGCUAACUCCGUGCCAGCAGCCGCGGUAAUACGGAGGAUCCAAGCGUUAUCCGGAUUUAUUGGGUUUAAAGGGUGCGUAGGCGGCCUGCUAAGUCAGGGGUGAAAGACGGUGGCUCAACCAUCGCAGUGCCUUUGAUACUGACGGGCUUGAAUACACUUGAAGUAGGCGGAAUGUGACAAGUAGCGGUGAAAUGCAUAGAUAUGUCACAGAACACCGAUUGCGAA